UCUGAAGCGGGCUGUCGUUGGUCUGGCAGCUCCUGGUUUGAGCAGAACAUCAGUACACUCAUGUUUUUCCUCAGAUCGUAUAAAUCUUUCGCCUUUUACUAAAGAUUUCCGUGGGGAAGAACACAAUGAGUUUAUACUCACUGUGA